rnacentral:lncRNA from 1 species
CAGAAAUAUGAACAGAAGAAGAGAGCUGAAUGUUGAUGACGGUUGUGGGUUCUGGACCCUGGUUCUUCUGCCUGGUUAUGCUACCAGCCCACACC